UGUGUAUAUUUUUUUCUGUUUCUAAUUAAAGUAAAAAUAAAAAAAGAGAUUAUUUUUUUUAUUUUCCUAUAAAUAAUAAUUUAUUAUUUCCAAGCUUUAGAAUACCUAUAAUAUUCACUAUGUAUUUUAAAAAGUAGGAUAUACAUUUAAAUCAAGCGAUGUUGUAUAAAAGUUUUUGUAUUUUACACAUUAGUGUGCAUAUUAAAGUAAUCAGGAGUUUUAAUCAAUUAGUAAGUUGUAAACGCAAAGCGAGUAGCCAGCCGGUGAAAUUUAUGUGGUAACAAACAAAAGAGAAAAGUAUGUGAGCAAGAUAUCCAAACUUUUUUUAGUUUGUGUAGUCCAGGCUCAAGUGAUAUUUUUGUGACACUGAUCCACACUAUACACCUAUACUUAAAAUCAACCAAGAUACAUCAUUAUCUCAUCAAAUAAGCCAACAAAACCUCAAAAUAUAUCCUUAACAGCCCAGAAAAAAGCUUGACUUUGACAAAAGUUUCAACCAUCAAUAAUAAUGCUACUAUCACAAGUACUCCACAACAAUCUAAUUCUAAGCUGCCAACUUCAAAUGAUAAUAUUGGUUAAUGAACUAAGUCGAUAUGUCCGUAAUCACUUACAAGUACCAUUUGGUCAAUGAUGCGUUAUCUUUUCGACGAUAAUUUAUUACAAGAAUACAGUAACAAAGGACAAAAAAAAGAAGAAAAUAUUUUCAACAUUAAAAUCAUGUUCCAUUAUAUUUGUGUAUUUAGAUUCUGUAAAAAAAAUGAAGAGACCAGAACAUGAUAAAAUUGAUGCAGAACAACCAAUAAAAAUUUUCAUUGCUUGAGCUAAAUUUCAAGGAAACUAUAAUAAGCCAUGUCAAGAAGACCUAUCAGAUAAUUAUAAUAAUUGUAUAAUUUAAUAUAAUAAUUAUUCUCAGUAAUGACAUAUGUCCAUAUACAUACAUGUAAAUAUUUACAUUUAUUUUUUUAUAAGAAUGGAACUUAUAAAAUUCUGUAUUAAUAAAAGGAACAAAUUAUUUGUUGAUUGUUAUACUUA